rfam:Nicotiana sylvestris Nsyl_contig43017, whole genome shotgun sequence.
GUGUUCAUAGAAAGGAGAGAUUGUUGGCAUCUCCCCCGAUAGGGACGGGAACAGCCUUCAGGAUUUAUCUCUUACCAGACACAUCCGGGAUCUUACCAAAUUUAAAGUUUAU